rnacentral:rRNA from 1 species
GCGAACGCUGGCGGCAUGCCUAACACAUGCAAGUCUGACGGGCCGGGGCUUCGGCCCCGGUCAGUGGCGGACGGGUGAGGAACGCGUAGGAACGUGUCCGGGGGUGGGGGACAACCGCGGGAAACUGCGGCUAAUACCGCAUCCGGCCUGAGGGCCAAAGGCGAGGGAGACCUCGCCGCCCCCGGAGCGGCCUGCGUCCGAUUAGCUCGUUGGUGGGGUGAUGGCCCACCAAGGCUUCGAUCGGUAGCNGGUCUGAGAGGAUGAUCAGCCACACUGGGACUGAGACACGGCCCAGACUCCUACGGGAGGCAGCAGU